rnacentral:siRNA from 1 species
CGCCUAUACUCUUCCAUCUCC